rnacentral:rRNA from 1 species
AUUGAACGCUGGCGGCAGGCUUAACACAUGCAAGUUGAGCGGGGGAAGGUAGCUUGCUACCGGACCUAGCGGCGGACGGGUGAGUAAUGCUUAGGAAUCUGCCUAUUAGUGGGGGACAACAUCUCGAAAGGGAUGCUAAUACCGCAUACGUCCUACGGGAGAAAGCAGGGGAUCUUCGGACCUUGCGCUAAUAGAUGAGCCUAAGUCGGAUUAGCUAGUUGGUGGGGUAAAGGCCUACCAAGGCGACGAUCUGUAGCGGGUCUGAGAGGAUGAUCCGCCACACUGGGACUGAGACACGGCCCAGACUCCUACGGGAGGCAGCAGUGGGGAAUAUUGGACAAUGGGGGGAACCCUGAUCCAGCCAUGCCGCGUGUGUGAAGAAGGCCUUAUGGUUGUAAAGCACUUCAAGCGAGGAGGAGGCUACUCUAGUUAAUACCUAGGGAUAGUGGACGUUACUCGCAGAAUAAGCACCGGCUAACUCUGUGCCAGCCGCCGCGGUAA